UGUCCAGCAACUCCUAUACCAACCUCCUCGCUGUACUGGCCGGGGUACGAGCAACCUAAGGGAAGAACGGGUAACCAACCCCUGUGUGAACUUUGGUCGUAUGCUGACAGGGAAGG
rnacentral:ribozyme from 1 species